rnacentral:ncRNA from 2 species
GGUCAAGAGUCUCAGCGACAAGCCCCGGCUGGCUGAGCGGCAACCCUCCAUCGCGGUGGGGUGCUCCGGGUGACGACCCGGCCGACGGCAUCCGCCCUCGGCAAGCGCGAACG